GAGCGGCGGACGGGUGAGUAAUGUCUGGGAAACUGCCUGAUGGAGGGGGAUAACUACUGGAAACGGUAGCUAAUACCGCAUAACGUCGCAAGACCAAAGAGGGGGACCUUCGGGCCUCUUGCCAUCAGAUGUGCCCAGAUGGGAUUAGCUAGUAGGUGGGGUAAUGGCUCACCUAGGCGACGAUCCCUAGCUGGUCUGAGAGGAUGACCAGCCACACUGGAACUGAGACACGGUCCAGACUCCUACGGGAGGCAGCAGUGGGGAAUAUUGCACAAUGGGCGCAAGCCUGAUGCAGCCAUGCCGCGUGUAUGAAGAAGGCCUUCGGGUUGUAAAGUACUUUCAGCGAGGAGGAAGGCGUUGUGGUUAAUAACCGCAGCGAUUGACGUUACUCGCAGAAGAAGCACCGGCUAACUCCGUGCCAGCAGCCGCGGUAAUACGGAGGGUGCAAGCGUUAAUCGGAAUUACUGGGCGUAAAGCGCACGCAGGCGGUCUGUCAAGUCGGAUGUGAAAUCCCCGGGCUCAACCUGGGAACUGCAUUCGAAACUGGCAGGCUAGAGUCUUGUAGAGGGGGGUAGAAUUCCAGGUGUAGCGGUGAAAUGCGUAGAGAUCUGGAGGAAUACCGGUGGCGAAGGCGGCCCCCUGGACAAAGACUGACGCUC
rnacentral:rRNA from 1 species